rnacentral:ncRNA from 1 species
ACUAUAAUUUGCCAAACUUAUUGUGAAAUAAGGACGGAAAGCUUUGAGUCUUAAUUAGUAAAUUAAGAUUGUCGGGUUGCGAUU